ACUCAGUGAUUCAAUCAUUCUCAAUCUUACAAACUCAUAUCUCAUUCGAUUAUUAUAGUCUUUCAUUAGUUCUUUUCACUUUCAUGAGUUCCUUCCUCUAAGACUCUGCUUUUCUAUAUAACCGUCCAACAAUUUGUCUCUAAUUCUUCAUCAUUAUCAGCGUUCAACAGGUAGGCUACAGAUACGAGGCGAAAGCUCAUAAUAUAUAAGUUUAUGCGGCCAAAAUUAUAAGAUUAGGGUUAGGACUAUUUUUAACUAAAUUAAGUCAAUGUUUUUACUAUUAAUUUAUUUUAUUGAUUGAAUAUUUGAUUUAGGUUUCUCACCCUUUUUUAUUUUUUAUUUUUUUUUCAGCAAAGUUUAUUUUGAUUUUCAGAAUUGUUACUUACGUGUUAUGCGUCGUUUGGAUGGGGGGGUUGAAACUCGAUGAAGAUUUGGUUCUAAAUCAUAUGUUUAGACACUUAAAUCGGAAAGAUAUUUAGGGUGAUUUGAAAUUAUCUGUUGGGUUCGAAGAGAAUUUCAUGGAUGAUUUCAAAUCUCCCAGGGAGAUAGAGAUUUCAAAAGAGAGAUGCGAGAUUUGAAAAUUUUCAUCAAAAUUAAUUAUUAUUUUCAUAAAAUUAUAUCAUCAUCCAAACGACGCGUUAAUCUUUUAAAUGGGUUAGCUAUGUGGGUAAUUGAUUAUAAUUUUUUGGAUGAGACAAAGAUGGAAGAGCUAAUAGAGAAUUUUAUUUCAGAAAAUGUUAAACAGGUAUUUACUUUGGUAAUUCUUUUAUGAAUAUUUAUGCAUUUUUUAUUUGUUUAUUUUUAACAUAUUAUAAUUAAAUAUGAAUAUGAUAAUUCGUGGUUGACAAUGAUUCUUGACAGGUACAUCGAUGCGCUUGAGAAUUUUGAAAACGAGCAGAGAAAGGAGAGGGAUUUGUUAGCUAGGUUUCACGGAAAGUCCAUGAACAACUAGUGGAACAGAUGCAUCGAUGAUGUGAUCAGAGCUUGUGAAAUCCAAGAGCUCCAGAGUGCUUAUAUAGAAUUGAAUAGCAAGGUUGACCUAAGGAGGAUCGAAGUCAUGUUGGGGAUUAAUAGUUUUAAUAAUCCAACUGAUUCAAUCAACAUUAAUCAUAGCAAUGUAAUGAAUGUGAAUGAUGAUGGUGGUGCCAUGUAAUGAAUGUGAAUGAUGAUGGUGGUGCCAUGUAAUGAAUGUGAAUAUGAAUGUAACUGUAAUGAAGUUACAUGAAUUGAUAUUUUAAACUCAUAUCAUCCUAAUUUAUCUUUCUCCAACUACAAUCGCUAUUUAAGAA
rnacentral:lncRNA from 1 species